rnacentral:lncRNA from 1 species
CUCGGGUAGCAACUUCUUGGAACUCAUUCUACAUAAUGGAACUCUGGUAGACCGCUGGCCGUCUCUGCUGAAAGCUCCUUCAUAAAAUUCUUUCCAAUCACCGACAACACCAGAAGCACUACUUUGGAACCCAGGAAAAACACUUAAGAAAGAUGCAAUUCAACUUACAAACAAUACAUUUACAACUGAACUUUGGAACGUGUCCAUAGAUGGGAGGUGGAAUGAUUGGCAUAAUUCCUCACAAAC